CAUGAUUUUGAUUUGAAAGACGCUUUCGGGUGUCGCUGAUGGAUGGACCCGCGGUGCAUUAGCUAGUUGGUGAGGUAACGGCUCACCAAGGCCACGAUGCAUAGCCGACCUGAGAGGGUGAUCGGCCACAUUGGGACUGAGACACGGCCCAAACUCCUACGGGAGGCAGCAGUAGGGAAUCUUCGGCAAUGGACGAAAGUCUGACCGAGCAACGCCGCGUGAGUGAAGAAGGUUUUCGGAUCGUAAAACUCUGUUGUUAGAGAAGAACAAGGAUGAGAGUAACUGUUCAUCCCUUGACGGUAUCUAACCAGAAAGCCACGGCUAACUACGUGCCAGCAGCCGCGGUAAUACGUAGGUGGCAAGCGUUGUCCGGAUUUAUUGGGCGUAAAGCGAGCGCAGGCGGUUUCUUAAGUCUGAUGUGAAAGCCCCCGGCUCAACCGGGGAGGGUCAUUGGAAACUGGGAGACUUGAGUGCAGAAGAGGAGAGUGGAAUUCCAUGUGUAGCGGUGAAAUGCGUAGAUAUAUGGAGGAACACCAGUGGCGAAGGCGGCUCUCUGGUCUGUAACUGACGCUGAGGCUCGAAAGCGUGGGGAGCAAACAGGAUUAGAUACCCUGGUAGUCCACGCCGUAAACGAUGAGUGCUAAGUGUUGGAGGGUUUCCGCCCUUCAGUGCUGCAGCUAACGCAUUAAGCACUCCGCCUGGGGAGUACGACCGCAAGGUUGAAACUCAAAGGAAUUGACGGGGGCCCGCACAAGCGGUGGAGCAUGUGGUUUAAUUCGAAGCAACGCGAAGAACCUUACCAGGUCUUGACAUCCUUUGACCACUCUAGAGAUAGAGCUUCCCCUUCGGGGGCAAAGUGACAGGUGGUGCAUGGUUGUCGUCAGCUCGUGUCGUGAGAUGUUGGGUUAAGUCCCGCAACGAGCGCAACCCUUAUUGUUAGUUGCCAUCAUUCAGUUGGGCACUCUAGCAAGACUGCCGGUGACAAACCGGAGGAAGGUGGGGAUGACGUCAAAUCAUCAUGCCCCUUAUGACCUGGGCUACACACGUGCUACAAUGGGAAGUACAACGAGUUGCGAAGUCGCGAGGCUAAGCUAAUCUCUUAAAGCUUCUCUCAGUUCGGAUUGCAGGCUGCAACUCGCCUGCAUGAAGCCGGAAUCGCUAGUAAUCGCGGAUCAGCACGCCGCGGUGAAUACGUUCCCGGGCCUUGUACACACCGCCCGUCACACCACGAGAGUUUGUAACACCCG
rnacentral:rRNA from 1 species